AUCAUCUUCUUCUUCAGAAAAAUUUGUCGGUGCCCUGUUCUAUCACAUCUACCUCAAAUAACCAAUUUCAUUUUCCACAAAAAUACUCCAAAUUCUGCUUUUCUUUUUAUUCCAUUUACCUACAUUGCCUAUUUCUAAUAUUAUAAUUCUUCAUUUUGUUAAGAUCACAUUUUCUUUUAUCCCGCAUUGCUACAUGCGGGGAUCAUUAAUCAGGUAAUUUUGUGAGUGAAUAAGGAAAUGGGAGAGAAAUCAAGAAAAGGAGGUUGGUGUGGUUGGAUUAUAGUUUUAAUAGUGGUAGCAGCGGCUGCUGGAGCCAUUGUUGUACUUGUUAAAAAGAAGCAUAAUGGUUCAAGCCCAGAUGCUGCUCCUGUUCCUGGACCUCCUGGUUCUCCUACCAAGAAAUAUGCAGAUGCUUUGAAAACUGCAAUGCAGUUCUUUGAUGUACAAAAAUCUGGGAAGUUAGUAAAUAACAAAAUAUCAUGGAGAGGUGAUUCAGCUGUCAAAGAUGGAAGUCCAGCAAAGUUGGAUCUCAGUAAAGGAAUGUAUGAUGCUGGCGACCACAUGAAAUUUGGAUUCCCUAUGGCUUACACUGCCACUGUGUUGUCGUGGGCCAUCCUUGAGUACGGUGAUCAGAUGAAGGUUGUGGACCAAUUGGAACCUGCUCAAGACUCACUCAAGUGGAUUACCGACUACCUUAUCAAUGCUCAUCCAAAAGAUAAUGUUCUUUAUAUUCAGGUGGGUGAUCCUGAUGCCGAUCAUAAAUGUUGGGAUAGGCCCGAGGAUAUGACUGAGGAGAGGCCUCUUAUUCAGAUAAAUGCUUCUGUCCCUGGGACUGAAGUCGCAGCUGAAACUGCAGCAGCUAUGGCUGCAGCAUCCCUGGUGUUCAAGUCCAGUGACUCGGCAUACUCAAGUGAUCUUCUUAAGCAUUCUAAACAGUUAUUUACUUUUGCCGACAAAUAUAGAGGUUCCUACAGCGAGAAUAUUCCUGAAGUCGCAACAUAUUACAACUCAACUGGAUAUGGGGAUGAGCUCUUGUGGGCAGCAAGUUGGCUAUAUCAUGCAACUGGAGAUCAAUCAUAUUAUGAUUAUGCGACUGGGAAAAAUGCAGAUUCUUUUGGUAAUUUUGGAAAUCCAACUUGGUUUAGCUGGGAUAAUAAACUAGCUGGUACUCAGGUUCUUUUAUCGCGGGUCAGCUUCUUUGAUUCGAAAGGCACCUCAAACUCGGAGACACUUCAAGAGUAUAGGAAAACUGCAGAAGCCGUAAUGUGUGGUCUCUUACCAANCUACCGAAAUCUCCAACAGCAACAUCCAGCAGAACUGAUAGUGGUUUAAUAUGGAUAAGUGAAUGGAACGCAUUGCAGCAUCCUGUAGCUUCUGCCUUCUUAGCUGUACUGUACAGUGAUUACAUGCUCACUUCUCGGACUGCAAAAAUAACUUGUAAUGGAGACGCAUAUACACCGUCUGAUCUGCGGAAGUUCGCCAUCUCCCAGGCUGAUUAUGUAUUGGGUGACAAUCCAUCGAAGAUGAGUUAUCUCGUAGGGUAUGGUGACAACUAUCCACAAUAUGUUCACCAUAGAGGGGCUUCCAUUCCUGAAGACGCUGAUACCAGUUGCAAAGAUGGUUGGAAGUGGCUAGAUUCGACUGAACCUAAUCCCAAUGUUGCGACUGGAGCUCUUGUUGGUGGACCAUUUCUUAAUGAAACAUAUAUCGAUUCAAGGAACAAUUCAAUGCAAGCAGAGCCAACCACAUACAAUAGCGCUGUCAUUGUUGGCCUUCUUUCUGGUUUGGUUACCACUUCCUCUGUGGUUCAAUCUUUCACCUGAGGUGAUAGCCUUCACGCGUGUGCCACCUCGUGUUGUCUUCUACAGUAUGUAGCUGCAUACAUAAUUUUUUUAUUUCUUGUAGCUCCUUGAACACAUAUAUAUAGGUGCAUUAUAUAUCUGUGUGUGUUAAUGUUCGUGUGUACACAUUACCUGCUCUAUGUUACUAGUAUUCGAUUUACGCGCUCAACUGGCAUAUGAGUUUUUGCUGUAUUAGUUUGCUCAAAAACAUUAUGCACUCUCUUGUUUUUCAUCGCGUUAAAAUUGCUAGAUAUGAGAGUUCCUAUGAUGGAUUUAGAGGAA